AUAUUUUCUGUUUGUGCUGAUCAUUCCAUUGAUCGUUUCAACUGUCAGUCCUCGAGGAAGGCAAAACAGGCUCCAUUUCUACAUGGUCGGAGUCUUCCACAUCAGCCGAACUGGUUUCUCUUAAAUCAAGUUUCACAUAGCUUUCUGAAGUCGUGUCGAUCGUUUCUUAAACCAACUUUCACAUCUGUUUCUUAAAUCAAGCUUCACAGAGUUUUCUGAAGUCCUGUCGAUCGUUUCCUAAAUCAGGUUUCACUUCUGUUUCUUAAAUCAAGUUUCACUUCUGUUUCUUAAAUCAAGUUUCACUUCUGUUUCUUAAAUCAAGUUUCACAUCUUUUUCAUAAGUCCUGCCAAUCGUUUCGUAAAUCAAGUUUCACUUAGUUUUCUUAAGUCGUGUUGAUUGUUUCUUAAAUCAAGUUUCACUUCUGUUUCUUUUUUUUUUUUUUUUUAAAGAUUUUAUUUUUUUCUUUUUCUCCCCAAAGCCCCCCGGUACAUAGUUGUGUAUUCUUCGUUGUGGGUUCCUCCAGCUGCGGCAUGCGGGACGCCGCCUCAGCGUGGUCCGAUGAGCAGUGCCAUGUCCGCGCCCAGGAUUCGAACCGAGGAAACACUGGGCCGCCUGCAGCGCAGCGCGCGAACGUGACCGCUCGGCCACGGGGCCAGCCCCUCACUUCUGUUUCUUAAAUCAAGUUUCACACAGUUUUCAUAAGUCCUGCCAAUCGUUUCCUAAAUCAAGUUUCACUUAGUUUUCUUAAGUCGUGUUGAUUGUUUCUUAAAUCAAGUUUCACUUCUGUUUCUUAAAUCAAGUUUCACAUAGUUUUCAUAAGUCCUGCCAAUCGUUUCUUAAAUCAAGUUUCACUUAGUUUUCUUAAGUCGUGCUGAUCGUUUCUUAAAUCGUUUCACAUCUGUUUCUUAAAUCAAGUUAAAUCCAAACUCAAAUGCCUGUCCUGCCAACUUAUAAAAGACCUGUGCAUUCUCUCUGAAGUCCCCAGGGCACACACUGCCCACAUCUAAUUGGGCAGGAAGUUCAGUCAUUGCCAGGGUUCCUCCCCGACAGGACCACCUGCAGACACAAGGGUGGCUCCCAGUUGGCCCUGCAUCUCUCUUUCCUGCACCUGUUGCCACCUCCCGGCAGAGGAUCCAUCCUCAGGACCCUGGAGCCGCAGAGCAGGGCCCCUUAGCUGACAAGGAAGGCAGAAGUCGGCCUACACAUUGAUGGGGAAACGGGAGCACUGAGCAUUCUGAAGACCUAGGGGUUCAGGGGAAGUUGGGCCGUCCAGCACUGCUACCCCAGUGGGAUGGGGUCAGAGAAGUGAUGGAGGACUCGGUCAGGGAAUAGAACUGAGAGGCCUCAGCCUGAAGCACUGAAU
rnacentral:lncRNA from 1 species